UCGGGAAUUUUGGGCAAUGGGCGAAAGCCUGACCCAGCAACGCCGCGUGAAGGAUGAAGUAUUUCGGUAUGUAAACUUCGAAAGAAUAGGAAGAAUAAAUGACGGUACUAUUUAUAAGGUCCGGCUAACUACGCGCCAGCAGCCGCGGUAAUACGUAGGGACCAAGCGUUGUUCGGAUUUACUGGGCGUAAAGGGCGCGUAGGCGGCAAUUCAAGUCAUCUGUGAAAUCUCCGGGCUUAACUCGGAACGGUCAGAUGAUACUGCUUUGCUAGAGUGCAGAAGGGGCAAUCGGAAUUCUUGGUGUAGCGGUGAAAUGCGUAGAUAUCAAGAGGAACACCUGAGGUGAAGACGGGUUGCUGGGCUGACACUGACGCUGAGGCGCGAAAGCCAGGGGAGCAAACGGGAUUAGAUACCCAUGUAGUCCCUGAGCGGGCUGGCAAGGCGCAU
rnacentral:rRNA from 1 species